UUUAGUAAAAAAUUUUUUGAG
rnacentral:piRNA from 1 species